GAACUGCGAUAAGUAGUGUGAAUUGCAGAAUUCAGUGAAUCAUCGAAUCUUUGAACGCACAUUGCGCCCUUUGGUAUUCCAAAGGGCAUGCCUGUUCGAGCGUCAUUUGUACCCUCAAGCUUUGCUUGGUGUUGGGCGUCUUGUCUCUAGCUUUGCUGGAGACUCGCCUUAAAGUAAUUGGCAGCCGGCCUACUGGUUUCGGAGCGCAGCACAAGUCGCACUCUCUAUCAGCAAAGGUCUAGCAUCCAUUAAGCCUUUUUUCAACUUUUGACCUCGGAUCAGGUAGGGAUACCCGCUGAACUUAAGC
rnacentral:misc_RNA from 1 species